rnacentral:lncRNA from 1 species
CCUGACUGCUCACUGCAGUUACCUCUGUGCCUGCCCCUCCCAGCCUUCCCAUCCCUGCCCUUGGCCCCUGCAGGCUCCUUCUUCUGAACCAGUUCCAUGAUGUGGUGACUGGAAGCUGCAUCCAGAUGGUGGCAGAGGAAGCCAUGUGCCAUUAUGAAGACAUCCGUUCCCAUGGCAAUACACUGCUCAGCGCUGCAGCCGCAGCCCUGUGUGCUGGGGAGCCAGGUCCUGAGGGCCUCCUCAUCGUCAACACACUGCCCUGGAAGCGGAUCGAAGUGAUGGCCCUGCCCAAACCGGGCGGGGCCCACAGCCUAGGUACGAGCUGAGGGGAAGGGUUGCUACUGCAGCAGGAAGGAUGGAGGCCAGACAGAUCAGGCCUGGGAUACCCCGAGGGAUCUGGGUGCCCCUGACUGGAGAGUAGUAGCACAUCUUCCACCAACCCAUCCCCACCUGCGCAAGCUUCCUGAAAGGUCAGGAAGGCUGCACUGAUGCCCAGGCCUCACCCCCAGCCCUGGUGACAGUGCCCAGCAUGGGCUAUGCUCCUGUUCCUCCCCCCACCUCACUGCAGCCCCUGCUGCCCCAGCAGCCUGUGUUCGUAGUGCAAGAGGUGAGUCCUGCAUGCCCUGGGGGGCAGGAACUGUGCUGGGAUACUUUCUUACAACUGAGGGUCCUGAGCUCCCCUGUCUGGAGCAAGUGGUGAGGCGGGGCUGGGGUUGGGGUGGGAAGACUUUUGGUGUGGGAAGCCCCUACAGACUCAGCCUCAAGGCCUCCUCCCACAAAGACUGAUGGCUCCGUGACUCUGGACAAUGGCAUCAUCC